rnacentral:rRNA from 1 species
CUCAUUAAAUCAGUUAUCGUUUAUUUGAUAGUACCUUACUACUUGGAUAACCGUGGUAAUUCUAGAGCUAAUACAUGCUAAAAAUCCCGACUUCGGAAGGGAUGUAUUUAUUAGAUUAAAAACCAAUGCCCUUCGGGGCUCUCUGGUGAUUCAUAAUAACUUUUCGAAUCGCACGGCCUUGUGCCGGCGAUGGUUCAUUCAAAUUUCUGCCCUAUCAACUUUCGACGGCUGGGUCUUGGCCAGCCAUGGUGACAACGGGUAACGGAGGGUUAGGGCUCGACCCCGGAGAAGGAGCCUGAGAAACGGCUACUACAUCCAAGGAAGGCAGCAGGCGCGCAAAUUACCCAAUCCCGACACGGGGAGGUAGUGACAAUAAAUACUGAUACAGGGCUCUUUUGGGUCUUGUAAUUGGAAUGAGUACAAUUUAAAUCCCUUAAC